rnacentral:snoRNA from 1 species
AGGGAGUAGAUACCCGGUUUUUCAUAAGUUGGCAAAACUGGCACAAAAUCUCCCAAUAUCAAAAGUGCUUUCUGAUGACUAAAACUUAUUAAGGACCAGGUUUUGGACAGUUACGGAGCAGACAACA